ACCUCCUCCUCCUCAGCCACUGCCUCCUCCUCCAACACCACUACCACUCCCUCCGGGGCACCCGGGUCCCUGCAGAGUCCGCGGUCGGCGCCGCCUCCGCUGCGGCCCCCUGGAUCCAGAGCCUGCGGCGCCCAAGCGGAUAGGACGGACGGACAGACAGAUUGCUCGCGCCCAGCGCUCACCGCUGCUGCAGCCCGCGUCGGGGGAACCGGGAUCGCCCCGGGAAGCACCUCGAGGGUUAAUUCUGCAGUCCUGUCAUUCGAGCAGCUUCUGACCACCACGAGAGAAUUAGCGGCACCACGUCCAGCUGACACCAUUCCAGAUCCCUGCAAAGGAAGGCGGCACGUCGGCCAGCCCACGUGCCCUUGGGAGUAACUGCACCCUUCCAUUAGACUCUUAGGAAUUGCAAACAUGCUCAGGAACCCACAGAACAAUCAGCCAACCUGGAGCCCCGGGACCCCUGGACUGGUGCCUCCUCACUCACCCCCGCCAGAGGUGCCAGCGCCAGCCACAGCCCGGUCACAGCGCGCUUCCAGGCAGCUGGCUGAACGAGCACAGGACCGCCAGCCUGUAAAGAAAGUCUGGUGAAUGCUGUUAGAUCACGUCCACGUCAAUGUGUUUCCGUAGUGUUAGUAACACCUCCGCGCGGUCCCUUUGCUCUCUCCGAAGGCUUCCCACAGGCAGCAUCGUCUUGGGAGGUACUGUCCUCCUUCUUCAGGAGGAAGAAAGAGCAGAUACCACGGAGGCCAAGAAAGAUGGCAUGACGUGUUCAAGGUCAGCCUGCAAGGUGGGGUGAAGAGGCCGGGACUGGAGCCUAGUUACGCACACAAGGCUUCAGCUAGAGGCUGCAGACAAGGGCUAUGUUUCACCGAGGGCCUGUCCAGAAAUUAGGAGCAGAGCAACUCCGUAUAGUUGAGCAGGUUGUGCACUGCACCAGGGCACCCCAGCCAAAGGGGUGCCAAUUGCAUCUUGGACGUCAUCGAUUUGUAUAUUUAUUACAUGUCUCCAGAUUGCAAUAAAGGAUCUCUUCUAAUAAAAUCAGUAUAUUAUAACUAUUUUCCAACAAGCAGAAGUAACAUGUCUUAUGGAAGAGGCCUCUUUUUCUGAUGUACAGCAACUCUAAGAAAACCACUCAUAUUUGGGAAGGCUGAGCUUGUCUGGGCAGAAAGAGACAGCAAGAGUGAUCUAACUGUGCCUUCAGAAAUUCAGCUGCCCUAAUGGCAGAGGAAUCUGGGGAGGGAGCAUGCAUGAUCACGAAAGGUAUCUCCAAAUCAAAAGACAGAAGGCAGACAACCUGAGAGACAAAUGGGCCAAGGGCAUGAUCCAUCAACUCACAAAAGAAGAAAAUGGCCAAUACAUGCAUGAAGGUUGGUUGAGGACAUUUAUCACUGUUCAGCCUGCACAAUGUCCCAGCGCCUAUCCUCAUGACCCCAGGUGACCUUACAAGGCACAGCCUUUCUCCCAUUGCAAGUUGCCAUGAAGGGGAAGCAGGGCCCCCUUCCCACUAUGGAAGUCCAAGAGGCCACUUUCUCCCUCUCCACACUCCUAUGGCCACAGAGAGCCAGGCCUAGGAGUGUCCUUGACUGACCGAAUGACCUUUCCCAGGCCCAGAGGUGGAGGAAGAGAUGGACGCAUGUGAGGAAAGAUGGGAGGUGAUAGACCUCAGCUCAGGCUAGAAGCCCAAGAUCAAGCUGUCAUCAGGGUAGGUUCCUUCUAGAGGAGAAUCUGCUCCAUGCCUCUCUCCUAGCUACUGGUGGUUGCUGGCAAUCCUUGGUGUCCUUUGUCUUGUGGCAGCUUGACCUCAGUCUCCACUUCCAUUUUCCCAUGGCAUUCUCCUGUCUGUGUCUCUGCUUCCAAAUUUCCCUCUUCCUAGAAGAACCCUAAUCAUUAGAUUCGAGGCCACCCUAAUCCAGUACAACCUCAUCUUAACUUGAUUACAUCUCCAAAGACCAUAUUUCCUAGUAAGGGCCCAUCCACAGGCUCCAGUGAACGUGAAUUUGGGGGCAGUGCUAUUCGACCAAGUGUCUCCAGCCCCAGAGAGAGGAAGGAGCUAUGUCGAUGCUUCAGUCUGAGGGGGACAAGAAUGGAGGUGACGGUGAGGUCCUUCUCCAGCCAUUGUGCUGUGAGCUUGAGCUUGGGAUUCUAGAACUGAAGACCCUUGGAAUAGAAAGGACAAGUUCCAGUCUGUGGGAGAUGGCCUUAGAAUGGUCCAGUCUGGCUUACCCUGCCAACGAUGAGAUUUGGGCCAUUAUCGUGCACUCUGAAGGUUUUUGCUUAAAGGACAUUCAGAGGUCGCACCUACCAUUUUCUCAUCUCAUAGAUGAAAACGCUGUAGUCCAAGGAAAUUAUUUUCCUUAAGUUGCACAGUUGAUUGGGUCUCAUGAUGUUGCGCAGGCUGGUCUUGAACUCC